GACGAACGCUGGCGGCGUGCCUAAUACAUGCAAGUUGAGCGCUGAAGGUUGGUACUUGUACCAACUGGAUGAGCAGCGAACGGGUGAGUAACGCGUGGGGAAUCUGCCUUUGAGCGGGGGACAACAUUUGGAAACGAAUGCUAAUACCGCAUAAAAACUUUAAACACAAGUUUUAAGUUUGAAAGAUGCAAUUGCAUCACUCAAAGAUGAUCCCGCGUUGUAUUAGCUAGUUGGUGAGGUAAAGGCUCACCAAGGCGAUGAUACAUAGCCGACCUGAGAGGGUGAUCGGCCACAUUGGGACUGAGACACGGCCUAAACUCCUACGGGAGGCAGCAGUAGGGAAUCUUCGGCAAUGGACGAAAGUCUGACCGAGCAACGCCGCGUGAGUGAAGAAGGUUGUCGGAUCGUAAAACUCUGUUGGUAGAGAAGAACGUUGGUGAGAGUGGAAAGCUCAUCAAGUGACGGUAACUACCCAGAAAGGGACGGCUAACUACGUG
rnacentral:rRNA from 1 species